GGGGUAGUCAAGGUUUCGACAGGGGUUCUGCAGCUGGAGAAGCUAUCCGUUGUGACACGUUAAUCACACCAUAAAACUAAACGCUGAAGACAAUUUAGCAAUCGCUGCCUAAAGGCAGCUGUCCGCUCUAAGGCACUCACACUUUAGAAUCCGGGCAGCGACUAUGUGAGAAACGACAUGUGUCAAGCUUUGCGCACAUGGGCGUACAAUGAAGCUACUGAAUAUGCCAGGCUGUCCGCUUCCUGGCAUAGGAGGGAAUGGGCUUUGCCGAGAUAACGGACUAUGAUAGUAGAAGGACAGGGAAUGGGCUUUUGGACACGGGUUCGACUCCCGUCUACUCCACUC
rnacentral:tmRNA from 1 species